rnacentral:lncRNA from 1 species
ACUUAAUAAAAAGAUUGUGGGGAAUAUUCAAGCUACGGAGAUGGGAGACGAUGUUAUUCAAGCUAACAUCUUGGUGAUGAGUAUGGAAAAUAUUCAAGCUACGGAGAUGGGAGAUGAUGUUAUUCAUAUCUGGGAUAGGUGGGUGGUGAAAAAAAGAUGGCAGGAUACGAGGCAUAGCCUCCCUGAAUUGGCCGAGUGCUGGUGGACUAUGUGGAAGGUUAGGAACGAUAUGAUCUUUCGAAACAUCCAACUAGAUCCCCUCGUAGCGGUGCACAGAUUUAAGAAGCUGCUGAAAUCCUGGGAGCUGUGUGCAUAAACUGCUAGACGUCCUACCAUAGCAAUUUUUUUUUUUUUUUCGCGCCCCUCCUUCGAGGCCCUGGCUGCCUCACCCAUGUAGCCUAAUUCAUAUUUUCAAUGAAUGAA